rnacentral:sRNA from 1 species
AGGCGGGUGGGGAUCCUUUCGACAGGGCUCCCAGCAAUAGAGCAGUCCCACUCUCCCAGAUGAGCUGGAGAAGUAGCUACCUCUCCCAGACAGAGUUGGGGUCAAAUUCAUGCACAUCCAGUUCCCAUCAAAGCCCACUCUUCCCAGGGCUUGCUGGGAGGGAAGGAUAACUGCAGGCUCCCCUGGGAUGCCCCCACGUGAGGGAAGUUCACAGAGUUUGAGACAGAGGUGAAUGGACAGGUGUGCUUCUUAGGGAAGCAGUCGAGAGGUGGCAAGAAGUUGGCAGCUGCACUCAAGAGGGUCCUGGCACCAUGGACAAUGACAAGCCUCUUCAGCCUGAGACAGAAGAUGAGAUUGAAAUUGAGCCAGUACGACAGAGCAGCGAUAAAAUGCUCUACUGUGAGGCUGAACCCCCGCCGACUGUUGAAAAAGUGAAACCAGCCCAGGAGAAUUCGGAAACAGACCUGGAGAUUGAAGGUGAGCAUGGGCAUUUGGGGGCAGUCAGGGCAGCUUCUCCUCAGAAACUGGAGAAAUCUGGUUUCCAGGAGCUGUCAUCUCACUCCUUUCCAGAGUCUGCCCUGCGGAUGGCCUGUGGAGGAAAUGUGGCAGAAAGGCCUGCUCGAUUUUGCCUGGAGUCCUCCUCCGGGCUGGCAGGGGAGAGCAGCUGCAGCUUCCCACGCUUGUCACCUGCCUCAGGAGCAGUGCCCUCACGUCGUCUUGUUAAAAGUGGAAUCAAUACACAAACAAGGUUUUCUAAUCUUCUAAAUGUUUCCACGUGGGGCAUCCUAUGCAAUCUUUGCAAUAGUCCUAGGAGUUUCCCCAAGAAGGGAAGCACCGAAAGAGAACACUUGUGAAGCAAGAGAAUGACGCUGGUUCCAUCUGACAGGAUGAUGAUAAAUUUUUCACCACUGGACAAAAGGAGCUGUACCUGGAGGCCUGCAAGCUGAUGGGUGUAGUGCCUGUCUCCUACUUCAUUCGGAACAUGGAGGAGUCCUACGUGAACCUCAACCACCACGGCCUGGGCCCCAGGGGUACCAAGGCUAUUGCUAUAGCCCUGGUGUCCAACCCGGCUGUUACCAAACUGGAGCUGGAAGACAAUUGCAUCAUGGAGGAGGGUGUCUUGAGCCUGGUGGAGAUGCUACAAGAGAACUACUACCUCCAGGAGAUGAAUAUUUCCAACAAUCACCUUGGUUUGGAGGGGGCCAGAAUCAUCUCAGAUUUCUUUGAGAGAAAUAGUUCUUCUAUCUGGAGCCUUGAGCUUUCAGGAAAUGACUUCAAGGAAGACUCCGCAGCACUGCUCUGCCAAGCCCUGUCG